GCGCUGGGUAGGCAAAGCCCGGAGAAACUGCUGAGAUGAGUGGCUUCCGGAGUGCUCAGAGGUGACUUCCUGUUUGGGAUGGAGAGGACACAUCCUCAGGAUCAUGGGCUCUGGGGACCUCUGUCACAGGUGGAGGAGAUACUUUGGUUUGAAAACUGGGGGAGAGGACAGUUGCCAGUCAGUGGCAGAUACUCCAUGUCCAACCUACCUCUGAGUCCACUAUGACCUCUGAACUUUUCUGGCAGGUGCAUCCAAGGCUUGGAACGCCCUGUGUGGUGAGUUUCAGUCGAUCAGGAAUUCAGCUGCAGCCUCACUGCCUGUCCCCAACCUGAGGUCACUGUGGCUGCAGCUGUUGGAAGGGUACGUGCUUCCUACAGACUUGUCUCGUGAACCACAGGGCUGCUUGAGUUUCCUUCCAAGAUGGCAGCUGGCUUCCACCAGAUUGGGCAAUGUGAAAGAGCCUUUAUGACCACGCCUUGGACAGCAUGUUAGCCACCAGCCCUGUUCACUGUGGAAGGAGGCAAUACAGCCUGUGAAUGCCUGAAGGCAGGAAUCAUUUGGAGACCAUCUUGGAGGUUGGUGACCAUGGCAACCAUCACGUCAACACAAAGAGAGGUAUCUUUCCUGGAGCACAUUGUUGGUUUCCUACCAUUUAGUGGACAUGACGGCUUGGGUAUUAACCAGGGAUGUGAAUGAAGGAAAUGGAAGAAGUGGGAACUUAUCAGCCACACUGAGCUCCGGGGACGACAGAGGUGACAGGUGCAGAGCCCCAUCUCUCAAGCCAUAUUCGGCCAGGUCAUGAGUGCCAUGACACCAGGCAACCCUCACCCCGGGCAGCCUGUUCCACCCACAUUCCCAGGUUAGACCAUUCAUUUGUAAGCUGUGCAUGAGGUGAGAUUGUGUGUGUGUUUGUGUGUGUGUAUGUGUGUGACUGUGUCUGUGUGUGUGUGUUCACAGCUAUAGUCACAAUAGGAUCGUGGGAGAGGACUGGAGCAGAAGGAACUUAGGAUGGACCCAAGCCAGUGAUAAACAAAUAAUACAGAUGAGAUAAAGUAUUCAUUGAUUGUGCUGGGCAGUGGUGGCGCACGCCUUUAAUCUUAGCACUAGGGAGGCAGAUCUUUGAAUUCAAGGCCAGCCUGG